GACGAACGCUGGCGGCGUGCUUAACACAUGCAAGUCGAGCGGUAAGGCCCUUUCGGGGGUACGACGAGCGGCGAACGGGUGAGUAACACGUGGGUGACCUGCCUCUAGCUCUGGGAUAAGCCCGGGAAACUGGGUCUAAUACUGGAUAUGACUCCAUGACGCAUGUUGUGGGGUGGAAAGCCUUGUGCGGCUAGAGAUGGGCCCGCGGCCUAUCAGCUUGUUGGUGGGGNGAUGGCCUACCAAGGCGACGACGGGUAGCCGGCCUGAGAGGGCGACCGGCCACACUGGGACGUGAGACACGGCCCAGACUCCUACGGGAGGCAGCAGUGGGGAAUCUUGCGCAAUGGGCGAAAGCCUGACGCA
rnacentral:rRNA from 1 species